CGCGUUGUUUCUGUCUAAGAUCUGAUGAUGUUAUUUCUUCCUACAUCUCUUUGUACAACAUUGGGUUAAGUGUGCUCAGCAGCAAAGGGCACCACGUCAUCUAGAAAGAUGCAUUCCGACAGGUGGAAACCUAAUAGCACAGGAGGAUUUUUCCUACCCCAGUGCCCUUCAUCUUGGGAGGAUGACAUCACCAGAUACUGUUAACAAAGACACUGGUGUCCCUAACUUAGCUGCUUCAGCUGCCCGAGACUUGGCUGACUGACUCCAGGGACAGACAACUCCGAAGUCCUGUAUGUUCUUCCUGCCACAUGCCCCUAAGGCCGUGGGUUGCAUUUUGUGAUCUUUCUUUCCCCUAAAAGGUAGCUGUACACUGUCUUCCUUUAAACCACAGUUAAAAAAAUUGUGACAUGUGGGAGGAAGUGUGUUCAGUGACAGGCCUUACCCCUCCCCCAGUUCCUGAUCCCAGGGACCACAGAUCCGGCUUCAGUUCUCACUGAGGAAUUAAGGCCUCCAAAGAAAUUCUAAUUUGCAGUGCCUUUGGCUUGGCUCUUGACUUAAGAAUCCCUAUCUUUGGGACAGGCUUACCUGUUAGGUCCUUUCCCCAUUACACUAUUGGAGUGGCUCUUAUGAGCUCUAAAUUAUGGCCACCAAGUCUGAGAUUAAGUCAAUUUCCCAGAGACUGGAAUGGCAUACAGUAAAGUUUUACUAUUGGCUUCAGAACUGGCUCUUUUUACAUGUAUCUCAGUGACCGUCAAGGGAGAGAGGGUGAGCGUGUGUGUAUGCGUGAGUAUGUCUAAGGGGGAGGUUGACAUUAUAUUCAAUAUAAUACUUUUUGUGUGGUUAAAAAACAAACCUUUUGAUUUCCUUUCGCAAACCCUAGAAAGUAAAAUUUGACCAAAAUCUUCCUGGCCAUUAGGGAUACGCAAAGGUCUCUUCCUUAAUGUGGAGGACAUUCAGAAUGUGGACAGUGAGAUGUUUAUGGUCUAAUUAUUUAUCAGACAGACCAGAGGCUAUAGGCUCAGUCUCCACUGGUCACAGGUUGCUGCUUUAACUCAGUCAUGCUUUGUGUUUCACAUAGUCUUGCAAUGGAAUUAUUCUCAAUGCUGGGUCAUCUGGAACUCAAUAUUUCUCACCAAUAGCCACCACUUUUCUGCUAUAUUGAACAACACAGUCUAUGGCCUGAAUGGCUGUGCUCCCUACCAAAUGUAUAUGUUGAAAUCCUAACCUUCAAAGGCAAAGUUAGUAGGUGGGGCCUUGGGAGGUGAUUAGUUUGUGGGGAUGGGGCCCUUCUGAAUAGGACUAUUGCUCUUAGAAAAGCACAAAGGGGAGUUCCUGCUGUGGUGCAACAGGACCAGUGGCAUCUCUGCAGCACCAGGAUGCAGGCUUGAUGCCUGGCCCGGCACAGCGAGUUAAAGGAUCUGGCACUGCCACAGCUGCAGGGUAGGUCACAAUUUCGGCUUACAUCUGACUGCUGGCCUGGGAACUCCAUAUGCUGUGUGGUAGCAAAAAAUGAAAAAAAGGAGUUCCCAUGGUGGCUCAGCAGUAACAAACCUGACUAGUAUGCAUGAGGACACAGGUUUGAUCUCUGGCCUUGCUCAAUGGGUUAAGGAUCUGGCAUUGCCAUGAGCUGUGGUGUAUGUCGCAGACGUGGCUUGGAUAUGGCGUUUCUGUGGUUGUGGUAUAGGCCGACGGCUACAGCUCUGAUUCAACCACUAGCCUCGGAAACUCCACAUACUGCAGAUGUGGCCUAAAACACACACACACACACACACACACACACAAAGACAGUGAAGGAAAUACUGUCCUGCACAUUUUUUUUUUUUUUUUUUUUUUUUUUUUGGCUGUGCCUGUGGCAUGUGGAAGUUCCCGGGCCAAGGACUGAACCUGUUCCACAGCAGUGAUAAUGCUGGAUCUUAACCUGCUAUGCCACAGGAAACUCCCAGUCCUGUACACUCUAGAUGCUAUAAGAACAGCAAAGGAAGAACUGGUUGUCAGAGGAGCAACUAUGAGCAUUCAGCACAGUCUUUGCAGUAGGGCUGUUCACAAGGAAAACAUGAGAUGCUGGAGUUCUGCUCCUUUUAACUCCACCCUCUCCCCCCAGCCCCCACCAAGGUGUCCAAAGGUGAGCAGCAUGAAGAGGGGCAUACAAAUGCACAGGUAAUCCGUCUGCGUUUUCCACAGCUCGCAGUAGUAAAGAUCUAUGACGAAAUUAUCUCACUCUCACAGGAACCCAAGCGCAGUCGCCCCUCUGC
ensembl:lncRNA